UCUCCUGAGGUGAUUUUCCUUUUUCCUGAUUAUCGGCCAACGCGGGUCUUAACAUUGCAUUAUGGAUUAAUCUGCAGCAAGAAAGCACACUGGAUACACGAACGAACUUUUACCUCUGAAAAUCGCUGAUUCAAGCUUAAUCAAUGCGAUUGCAGAGAAACGGGAAGAGUUUCGCCUCUUGAGAUGGGGAAGAUGGAUUUCAUCCUCAAAUUGCACGAUAUUUAAGACCUCCAGGUGACUCACCUCAACACGGGCAUCCAAAAAUACUCUUUCUUCGUGGAAAAUCACUUCUCAACUUGUAUUCGGGGUCAUUCCACUUUUAGUUAUCUCUGUAUGUCCACAAAAGUAUGAAAUAAGGAUACUUCAGUUAUCAACAUUGAUGUGUCAGUAAGGAGCAAAAAUCUUUGGUUCAAUACAAAUACGUCACCGACAUACCCGAUGGCAAUUUCUGCAAGCCUACUUGAAUACUAUUCCUGAAAUUUUACAGAGAGGAAUACUAGAAAGGAUAUUGAUUGCAAUUUCUUACUUCGGUCCAUCUGUAGAAAGAAUCCAAUUUGCUGGAUCAUAUUCUAUUUCCAUGAGAAAAAGAAGCUGAGAAAUAUAAUUUCAAAACAUGAGUUCUCUGGUUUGACCAAAGAAUCAGCAUGAAUCAACAUAAUCGAAUCAGCAAUUCUCAUCCUGCCUCAGCAUAUGGGUAAACAGAACGACCAUCAAUCACAUGCAGGCAUGAAUUAAGUUUGAGUUUUAAUGCUCAUCAUAUCCCGUUGUGGAAGCAAAGGUAACUGAACCCGUAUAACUUAAAUGUAUUCACCUUGGAAACAAGAACCAAUCUGCAUAUUCAAAGUCUUUCCUCCCCCACAAUAAGAGUAUAAUAUAAAAAAAAAAUACUUUCAAUAAUUUCUUCAUUAUUAAAUUUGUACAUAUAAUAGACUAGCCAAACUGACUGUAAUGAUUCAUGAUCUCAUUUUAA